AGCAGCCGCGGUAAUUCCAGCUCCAAUAGCGUAUAUUAAAGUUGUUGCAGUUAAAAAGCUCGUAGUUGAAUUUCGGGAUCAGAUUGUCGGUCGUGCCUCGGUACGCACUGGCAUUAUUGGUUCCUACCUUCUGAAGAACCGCGAUGUCAUUAAUUUGGUGUCGUGGGGAAUCAGGACUGUUACUUUGAAAAAAUUAGAGUGUUUAAAGCAGGCGCACGCUUGAAUACAUUAGCAUGGAAUAAUGAAAUAGGACGUUUGAUUCUAUUUUGUUGGUUUCUAGGAUCGACGUAAUGAUUAAUAGGGAUAGUUGGGGGCAUUAGUAUUCAAUUGUCAGAGGUGAAAUUCUUGGAUUUAUUGAAGACUAACUACUGCGAAAGCAUUUGCCAAGGAUGUUUUCAUUAAUCAAGAACGAAAGUUAGGGGAUCGAAGACGAUCAGAUACCGUCGUAGUCUUAACCAUAAACUAUGCCGACUAGGGAUCGGAUGAUGUUAAUUUUUUAAUGACUCA
rnacentral:rRNA from 2 species